AACCACUAAAAAAAGUGUCUUUUGGUUCUAGUAAGAUGUUUGCACGUCUUCGCUGAAAUAGAGAAAGAGAUAGGGUACAUAAGACAACAGCGAUCUACGACGAGGUUUUCAAGGCAAGUUUGCGCGACUUUUGAGAUAGGGACAUUUUAAGAAGAACAGCAGAAAGCUAUAGAUAUGUUUUUCGAAGCCAAGAAACAAGGCUUUUUCGUAGGAUUAUGAGACCUACAGAAUGUCUGUGCCUCAGCUUUUGGCAGGAGAGGAGAUUUGGCGGAGCUCAAUGGGAAUGAAGCAACUCGAAGAAGACCAAGGUUAGCUGUGCG